rnacentral:rRNA from 1 species
AUUGAACGCUGGCGGCAUGCCUUACACAUGCAAGUCGAACGGUAACGCGGGGCAACCUGGCGACGAGUGGCGAACGGGUGAGUAAUGCAUCGGAACGUGCCCAGUAGUGGGGGAUAGCCCGGCGAAAGCCGGAUUAAUACCGCAUACGACCUACGGGUGAAAGGGGGGGAUCGCAAGACCUCUCGCUAUUGGAGCGGCCGAUGUCAGAUUAGGUAGGUGGUGGGGUAAAGGCCCACCAAGCCUUCGAUCUGUAGCUGGUCUGAGAGGACGACCAGCCAAACUGGGACUGAGACACGGCCCAGACUCCGACGGGAGGCAGCAGUGGGGAAUUUUGGACAAUGGGCGCAAGCCUGAUCCAGCCAUGCCGCGUGCGGGAAGAAGGCCUUCGGGUUGUAAACCGCUUUUGUCAGGGAAGAAACGCUCCGGGCUAAUACCUCGGGGUAAUGACGGUACCUGAAGAAUAAGCACCGGCUAACUACGUGCCAGCCGCCGCGGUAA